rnacentral:rRNA from 1 species
UUAAGUGAAUAAGGGCGCACGGUGGAUGCCUUGGCACUAGGAGCCGAUGAAGGACGGGACUAACACCGAUAUGCUUCGGGGAGCUGUAAGUAAGCUUUGAUCCGGAGAUUUCCGAAUGGGGAAACCCAACAUCUUUUAUAGGAUGUUACUUUUCAGUGAAUACAUAGCUGAUUAGAGGUAGACGCAGAGAACUGAAACAUCUAAGUACCUGCAGGAAGAGAAAGAAAAAUCGAUUCCCUGAGUAGCGGCGAGCGAAACGGGAAAAGCCCAAACCAAGAGGCUUGCCUCUUGGGGUUGUAGGACUCCGAUAUGGUAGUCCAGUGAGAUAGUCGAAGGACCUGGAAAGGUCUGCUAGAAAGGGUAAAAGCCCCGUAGACAAAAUUUGACUGGCACCUAGGAGGAUCCUGAGUACGGCGGAACACGAGGAAUUCCGUCGGAAUCCGGGAGGACCAUCUCCCAAGGCUAAAUACUCCCUAGUGACCGAUAGUGAACCAGUACCGUGAGGGAAAGGUGAAAAGCACCCCGGAAGGGGAGUGAAAUAGAUCCUGAAACCGUGUGCCUACAACAAGUUAGAGCCCGUUAAUGGGUGAUAGCGUGCCUUUUGUAGAAUGAACCGGCGAGUUACGAUUACUUGCGAGGUUAAGUUGAAAAGACGGAGCCGCAGCGAAAGCGAGUCUGAAUAGGGCGAAUGAGUAAGUGGUCGUAGACCCGAAACCAUGUGAUCUACCCAUGUCCAGGUUGAAGGUGCGGUAAAACGCACUGGAGGACCGAACCCACGUACGUUGAAAAGUGCGGGGAUGAGGUGUGGGUAGCGGAGAAAUUCCAAACGAACUUGGAGAUAGCUGGUUCUCUCCGAAAUAGCUUUAGGGCUAGCCUCAGAGUAAGAAUGAUGGAGGUAGAGCACUGUUUGGACUAGGGGCCCAUCUCGGGUUACCGAAUUCAGAUAAACUCCGAAUGCCAUCCAUUCAUCUCUGGGAGUCAGACUGUGAGUGAUAAGAUCCAUAGUCGAAAGGGAAACAGCCCAGACCACCAGCUAAGGUCCCCAAAUAACUAUUAAGUGGAAAAGGAUGUGGGGUUGCACAGACAACUAGGAUGUUGGCUUAGAAGCAGCCACCAUUUAAAGAGUGCGUAAUAGCUCACUAGUCGAGUGACCCUGCGCCGAAAAUGUACCGGGGCUAAAUAGUUUACCGAAGCUGUGGAACACACCAAUGGUGUGUUGGUAGGAGAGCGUUCUAAGGGCGUUGAAGGUAGAUCGUGAGGACUGCUGGAGCGCUUAGAAGUGAGAAUGCCGGUAUGAGUAGCGAAAGACAGGUGAGAAUCCUGUCCACCGAAUGACUAAGGUUUCCUGGGGAAGGCUCGUCCGCCCAGGGUUAGUCGGGACCUAAGCCGAGGCCGACAGGCGUAGGCGAUGGAUAACAGGUUGAUAUUCCUGUACCCGUUGUUUUUGUUUGAGCAAUGGAGGGACGCAGGAGGCUAAGGAAUCAGACGAUUGGAAAUGUCUGUCCAAGCAAUGAGUCUUGAUGUGAGUCAAAUGCUUACAUCUCUAAGGACAAGUUGUGAUGGGGAGGGAAAUAAUAGUACCGAAGUUCCUGAUGUCACACUGCCGAGAAAAGCUUCUAGUGAGAAAACAAUGGCCCGUACCGCAAACCGACACAGGUAGUCGAGGAGAGAAUCCUAAGGUGAGCGAGAGAACUCUCGUUAAGGAACUCGGCAAAAUGACCCCGUAACUUCGGGAGAAGGGGUGCUGAUCUAACGAUCAGCCGCAGUGAAUAGGCCCAAGCGACUGUUUAUCAAAAACACAGGUCUCUGCAAAAUCGAAAGAUGACGUAUAGGGGCUGACGCCUGCCCGGUGCUGGAAGGUUAAGAGGAGUGCUUAGCGUAAGCGAAGGUACGAAUUGAAGCCCCAGUAAACGGCGGCCGUAACUAUAACGGUCCUAAGGUAGCGAAAUUCCUUGUCGGGUAAGUUCCG